rnacentral:lncRNA from 1 species
CCGAGGACCGGGCAGGCUGUGGGACUGGUGGCGGGGCUGAUGCUCACACAGCUGCCUCCUGCCUGAGUGCUGGGGAGUCUCUGGGAUAAUCUGCAGGCCAGGACUGCCCUUGGAGCAGCCUCUGCCCAAAGCGACAGCGUCUCCACUGUCCCCAGCGUCUCCACCCCGGCAUCUCCAGAGUUGCCCCCUGUCCCGAGCCGGGGUCCAGCCGCCAUGACGGACACGCCAGUGGAAGAAUCCCUCUUCCAGCUCAUUCACUGCUACCACCAGUACGCGGCCCGGGAGGGGGACGUGGAGACCUUGUCACUGGAAGAGCUGAAGGCCCUGCUCAUGGACAGUGUGCCCCGUUUCAUGGGGAGCUUGGGCCGGAAGGAGCCAUACUUCAUUGCUGAGCUGUUCCGGGCCGCCGACAAGAAUAAGGACAACCAGAUCUGCUUUGACGAGUUCCUCUACAUCGUGGGCAGGCUGCUGAGGGACUACCACCUGCAGUACCACCGGCAGCUGUGUGCCCACUACUGUGCCCAGCACAACCUCUACUAGAGGGAACGUGGGCAGCCUCCCCGCGGGGGCCGACGGUGGCGGGUGGCGGAGGGGAGCUCUGCCAUGUGUGUCUGCCCGAUGGGUGUGCGCACGCAUGUGCGUGUCUGUGGGAAGGACAGACGGCUGAGAAGAGAAUAAAGCGAC